rnacentral:rRNA from 1 species
CUACCCGCUGAACUUAAGCAUAUCAAUAAAGCGGGAAGGA